rnacentral:rRNA from 1 species
GAGAGGAACUUGUUCCUCGAGUCGUUGAUUUCACACUGCCGAGAAAAGCCUCUAGCUAGAAUAACGGUGCCCGUACCGCAAACCGACACAGGUAGUCAAGAUGAGAAUUCUAAGGUGAGCGAGCGAACUCUCGUUAAGGAACUCGGCAAAAUGACCCCGUAACUUCGGGAGAAGGGGUGCUCUUUGAGGUUCACGCUUCGAAGAGCCGCAGUGAAUAGGCCCAAGCGACUGUUUAUCAAAAACACAGGUCUCUGCUAAACCGUAAGGUGACGUAUAGGGGCUGACGCCUGCCCGGUGCUGGAAGGUUAAGAGGAGUGGUUAGCGCAAGCGAAGCUACGAAUCGAAGCCCCAGUAAACGGCGGCCGUAACUAUAACGGUCCUAAGGUAGCGAAAUUCCUUGUCGGGUAAGUUCCGACCCGCACGAAAGGCGUAACGAUUUGGGCACUGUCUCAACGAGAGACUCGGUGAAAUCAUAG